UUUUACUUUUUAAACUAUUUUCCUGUACUUUUAAAAGUAAUAUACAUUAAUUUUGCCUUCAGAAAGUUUAGAAUUAGGAAUUAAACAUUUUUCCUUGUGUAUGUAUGAUCAUUAUAUUUAGGAAAGAACAGGCUAAUUUGAAUUUUCAGUAAAUAGUUAAUUAAAGCAUGCACUGAAUGUAAUAUAAUAAAAUAUAUAUGAGACCUGAAAUUGAUGUAUAUUUGAACUAUUUUUCUAAGUACAUUUACAUCAAGAAAAUGAUUGUUACUAAACAAGAAAAACAAUUAACUUUUGAAUUUGUAAACACUUUUUUCUCCCUUGUGUACUAUUAAUCAGCCUAGUGUACCUUCAAAGUCUGAAAUGGAUAUUUUAGUGGAUAAAAUCAAAUGUCCUGUAAGUAAGACUUUGAGUAUUAGUUGUCUAAUGUGAGGUAUCGCAUGACAGUAUUCUAAAACUUGAAUUAAUUUUCAUAAAAGAAAUUUUAUUUGGUAUUUGUGUAUUAACCACUACUGAGAACUUCAGUUGCUACCAGGCUUUGGCAAUAACUUGCCGAAAACUGUCUGCCUUCUCUUUCCAGCCAUAUUUUCAACUUUUGCUACCCAACGAGUCUCUUGCAUUUGAGAUAUAACAGAAUAGAAGCUGACAUUUUUUCAGUUCCUUUCAAUCUCAGACUAUUGCCCUUAAUUCCUCUGCAAUAUCUCAGUUAAAUAUAGUAUGUUGGGAAAAUAUAGGAUAGAUAACAAGAAUGAGAGCUAGAGACUGAUUUGAAGGAAGCUAGGUUAUGGUUAGAACAGUUACAUAAUUUAUUUAUUGUUUUGAAAGGAAUUAACAUGAAUCAGAUUUUGCAAAGAUGUACUGGAUGUUGUGGACAAAACUGUGAUAACUUGUCAAAUCUUUAAGAAAUGUGUGUUACUGAAGAAGGAAAACUCCAAAGUCCUCAGUAUCUAAAUUCUGAACUGAAGUCUGUGCUACUCGAAUUGCUCCCCGAGUUAUCUAGACACCAACUGAAAUUUCUGGUAGAAGUACAUAUGGAAGAUUUUAUCAUACAGCAUAAAUAUCCAUGGGGUAAUAGGCAAAACAAAGCUCUUAAUAAAGGAAAAUUUUCCUAAAGAAAUAUAUUUAGAUCCUUAUCAGAUUCCAAGAACAAUAAGUAAUCUUGAAAUAAAGAUUCCUCAGAUUCAGUUUAUUAAUACUGAAACCCCAGCUUAUAAUGCUCAACCUUUGUAUAUAGAACUUUAUUCAUGCUCAAAGAAUGGCUCUCAUAAUGUGGAUGUUCCAUUUCAUGUAAGAUACAUAAAGCCACAAGAAUGUGACAUUCUUGGAGAAACUGUUGAGAUAGAGCUAAGACCACCAUCUGUUUUUGUUACAAGUAAUGAUUCCACAUGUACUACUGGUGAUACUGAAGUUGGUUCUUGGAAAACUUUAGAACAUGAAAUGCAUUCUAUAAGUUUUCAGGUACCUGUUGGGUGCAAAGAACAUUUUAACGCAGUUUUAUAUCUAACUCUGCUUGCAGUAGGAUUAUCAACUAUGUAUAUAUUCCAUGUACUAUUUCGCAUUAAAGUUUGAUUUGUAAAAAAAAGAAA